AUGCGAUAAGUAAUGUGAAUUGCAGAAUUCAGUGAAUCAUCGAAUCUUUGAACGCAAAUUGCGCCCUUUGGUAUUCCGAAGGGCAUGCCUGUUUGAGUGUCUUAUAAACCUCACCCCUAAUGUUUUAUUACAAUAGGUUGGUGCUUUGGGUGUUGCCAUUUACCUGGCUCGCCUUAAAUGACUAAGUGGAAUGCGUAAUAAGUUCUCGCAACCCUCCACUCUAAUACAAUUUAUAUUCUGACCUCAAAUCAGGUAGGACUACCCGCUGAACUUAA
rnacentral:misc_RNA from 1 species